rnacentral:sRNA from 1 species
GAAGAUUUCUUGGAUCCAUCCGCCGCUGAUUUUCUCGGUCACCUGGAGCCGUCUACGUCAUCGCAGGAUUUCAUCUACUAUGAUGACGUGGCAUUAGACACUACUACGUCAUCGUCGUUCGUCACGUCACAACCUAGAGAAUUGUACUGUUUUACGUGUGGAGAUGCAUUUAACAAUCGGAAAGGGCUUUACAGGUAUAUUAUAUUUUAAUUUAAAAAAAAAACAGAAAUUUUCUUUAAAAAAAUAUUUUCUCAGACACGGAAAAACCGCCGAACACGCGACACGACCUCCUCGCCGAAAAAUUGAGCGAAAAAUUCAAAUUCCCGCCGAACCGCCAGAAAAACCACCGGAAAUUCCGAAAAAAUCGAUAAAAAUCUGCGGGGAAAAAUCGAUUUGUGCGGAAUGUUCGGGGAGUUUUCCUAAUCGAAAAGCACUUUACAGG